AUUGAACGCUGGCGGCAUGCCUUACACAUGCAAGUCGAACGGUAACAGGUUAAGCUGACGAGUGGCGAACGGGUGAGUAAUAUAUCGGAACGUGCCCAGUCGUGGGGGAUAACUGCUCGAAAGAGCAGCUAAUACCGCAUACGACCUGAGGGUGAAAGCGGGGGAUCGCAAGACCUCGCGCGAUUGGAGCGGCCGAUAUCAGAUUAGGUAGUUGGUGGGGUAAAGGCCCACCAAGCCAACGAUCUGUAGCUGGUCUGAGAGGACGACCAGCCACACUGGGACUGAGACACGGCCCAGACUCCUACGGGAGGCAGCAGUGGGGAAUUUUGGACAAUGGGCGCAAGCCUGAUCCAGCCAUGCCGCGUGCGGGAAGAAGGCCUUCGGGUUGUAAACCGCUUUUGUCAGGGAAGAAAAGGCUUCUGCUAAUACCGGAGGCUCAUGACGGUACCUGAAGAAUAAGCACCGGCUAACUACGUGCCAGCAGCCGCCGUAAGAC
rnacentral:rRNA from 1 species